UCUAUAUCAGAUUAGAAGGCACGAAGCCAGUUUUGAAAUAAUAAAAUUUGAAUGAAAAUUUGUACACCAUGUUAAUUAAUUACUUGAAACACGUAUUUUUGAUUCUUAUUUAAUCGAUUGUCUAUACACUUCUGAUAUUUUGACUGAAGCCUUUCAUUAUAUAUAAUAUAAAAUUGUUCUCAAACACGAUUUUCGUAUGAGGUUUUUUUACCCCAUGUAAAAAAAGUGUAUUUCAUUUAAAUAGAAUACUAAUUUGAUACGAAUAAGUUAAUUUUUAUUCAUAAUUUUAAUUUUGAAAACGUGUUCAUUCCGCCUGAAAAUUAAUUACUAUCUUGGACGCUCCCAAAAUCAUGAAACGAAGCUCAGUGCCGUCAACGCGAAUAUCAACAAACACAGCACAAACGAAAAACAGAAUGUGAAAAACAAGUUAGAACCAAUCAAUCAAAUCAAGAAAAACAUCAAAAUGGACUCAGAAUAACAUUUUGAUAAAUCGUGGUGAGAGUGUUCUACAAGUGGCUGACGAAACGGGCCUUCCACGGUCGACAGUUUACGGAAUCGAGAAGCAAGAAAUAGCAUUGCGGUAUUGCAAGGCGUUGGUCAACUAAACUAUCCCUUGAUUUCGAGAUAAUAAUAGGAAAUAUAAAGGUAGAGAAACCAGAUGCCGAAAUCGACACAACUAUCGUUAAGGAAGAAUAUGAUGUGAAACUUAAAAAUACGAAUGCAAUCACUCAGCCCAUGGCGCCGAAGAAAUUAACCAAGAACAUUCAUAAACUUAUCAAAAAAGCAUCAAAACACAAAUCUUAUUUACGAUAUGGAUUAAAGGAUGUUCAAGUGCGUCCGCGGAAUAAUAAAACAGGGAAAGCAAUGUGUAUAUUGUGUGUUGAAAUGGAGGUUGCAAUUUAUAAAAAAGAUUGUCAUUUUCGCUGCAGAAAAGUGGAAAUCAUGUGUCACUUGCCAUCUGUUUGUGAGAAACGCAAUAUCCCAUAUUGCUAUGCGCCGAGUCGGAAGACUUGGGAGCAGCAGUGGGUGUGAAAUGAGGCACAGUCGCAAUACUAAUCCGAGAGCAGCCCGAUUAUCAGGAACAGUGCGAUAAACUAAAAGUGAAGAAUCAAUGCCGUCAACACGAAUAUACCAUUGUGCGAGUUUUUACAACACGAUAAAUUUUUAGGAGUAUUUUCAACCAUUUUUCCAAUCAAAACAAUUUAUGGUGUUACAAUCAAUCAUUUUGUAUUUUUGUUAUCAUGCCAUAUACUUAAUUAAAAUUCACUAUUGUUAUUCGUCAAGAAGGCGAAUAAUUUCAUUUUCAUAUUCGUUUUUUCAUUUUUCGGCUUCCACUAAUUUACGGUCAUCACCAACAGCAAUAAGAACAUUUUUGAGUACAUCCAUGAUGCUGAUAGCCUACUUAUAAUCAUUGCGUUUUUCGGAUUGACUGCUCCAAGAGUACAUAUAACCGAAGUACUAAGAUCACCCUCAGCACUUUCGUUAGCAUCGCAAUCUUGCUCUUCAUGGUCGGCCUCGAAAAAGUCACCACCAGAGGCUUGGCCAAUUGCUCGUCGGUAUAUAUUUGCGCUACAUCUAUGUUGUCUGAGUUGCUUAGCCACUCUUGAACUUCUUCUUCGGUCAGUUCGUAGUUUGGAUCAACGAGUUGCACUACUUUAGAAAGCAACACGCGGGGGUCACUUGUUGGUGAAGAAAUUGUGAAAUCCUUGAACGAGUUAUAGUUUUGAUCUUGACUUAAGAGAUUGCGCCAACAGUUAGCAAUCGUUUCUGGAGUUACAGUGGCCCACGCAUCAGUCGCUAGUUGAAUAGCAUCAUAAAGGCUAAAUGAUUUGAUAACUUCUGUAACUGGGCGAUCGCUGUCAGUUUCUAACAGAACACGGCGCAGAAAAUUCGAUUUAUAGAUAACUAAAAAAUAAAAAUAAUAUUCACUAACUUGGACUCGAAAAUGUAAUGACAUUAUUACCCUUAAAAGCAUUGAUGAUUCCUUGAACCAUAGGCUGAAGAAAGCUUGUCACAUUUGGAGGAAGGAAGAUCACCUGAAUUUCUGCGUCAUCCACUUGAAACUUAUCUUUACUGCAAUGUGCGGUGCAAUUAUCUAGAAUUAGAAGCGCAUUAGUCGGUCUAUUCUGUGCAGCUGCCUUCCGUUUGAUCUCAGGAACGAAAACGGAGUAGGACCAAUCAGUAAACGUCGCACUAGUUUGCCACGCUUUCUUAUUUGAAAAAUAGUGUAUCCCAUCAGGCACGCCUUGCGUUUUAAAGCACCUAGGAUUUGAUGCGCGGCCAAGCACUUGUAAUGGUAAUUUGUGGCUACCACUUGCAUUGCUGCAAGGGUAAUUGUCAGUCUCUCCUUCAACGACUUGCGUCCGGGUGCAGUUUUUUCGCUAGAACUAACCAAUGACUUUGUAGGCAAGGCUUUCACAGACUAUGUUCUUAUCUUUGAUGGUGAGGACAUUAUACUUUCGUCUCUUGUAUUUCACUGGACGGUCAUUUUGAUCAGGCUUGCUGUUAGCUUCGCUGACGGUGAUUUGUUCUAAAGCAAUAGAACAGCUCGAAUGAAUGUUGGCCGGUAGUAGAUCUUCUAAAUGUUCAUCUAAAUAUUCUCCUUGCAUGUAUCCUUCACCAAUGUCUACGAAAAUUGAGUUCAUUUUGCUGUUUUUCUUUUCUGGUUCUAACUUGUUUUUCACAUUCUGUUUUUCGUUUGUGCUGUGUUUGUUGAUAUUCGCGUUGACGGCACUGAGCUUUGUUCCACGAUUUCGGGAGCGUCGAAGAUAGUAAAUAAUUUUCAGGCGGAAUGAACACGUAUUCAAAAUUACAAUUAUGAAUAAAAGUUAACCUAUCCGUAUCGAAUUAGCAUUCUAUUUAAAUAAAAUACACUUUUUUUUA